rnacentral:rRNA from 1 species
CAGCAGCCGCGGGAAUACGGAGGAUCCAAGCGUUAUCCGGAAUCAUUGGGUUUAAAGGGUCCGUAGGCGGUCUUGUAAGUCAGUGGUAAAAGCCCAUCGCUCAACGGUGGAACGGCCAUUGAUACUGCAGGACUUGAAUUAUUGGGAAGUAACUAGAAUAUGUAGUGUAGCGGUGAAAUGCUUAGAGAUUACAUGGAAUACCAAUUGCGAAGGCAGGUUACUACCAAUUGAUUGACGCUGAUGGACGAAAGCGUGGGUAGCGAACAGGAUUAGAUACCCCUGUAGUCCCUGUCUCUUAUAC